GAUGAACGCUGGCGGCGUGCUUAACACAUGCAAGUCGAACGAUGAAGCCCAGCUUGCUGGGUGGAUUAGUGGCGAACGGGUGAGUAACACGUGAGUAACCUGCCCUUAACUCUGGGAUAAGCCUGGGAAACUGGGUCUAAUACCGGAUAGGAGCGUCCACCGCAUGGUGGGUGUUGGAAAGAUUUAUCGGUUUUGGAUGGACUCGCGGCCUAUCAGCUUGUUGGUGAGGUAAUGGCUCACCAAGGCGACGACGGGUAGCCGGCCUGAGAGGGUGACCGGCCACACUGGGACUGAGACACGGCCCAGACUCCUACGGGAGGCAGCAGUGGGGAAUAUUGCACAAUGGGCGCAAGACUGAUGCAGCGACGCCGCGUGAGGGAUGACGGCCUUCGGGUUGUAAACCUCUUUCAGUAGGGAAGAAGCGAAAGUGACGGUACCUGCAGAAGAAGCACCGGCUAACUACGUG
rnacentral:rRNA from 1 species